rnacentral:pre_miRNA from 1 species
CUUGUACUCCCUCCGUCUGAAAAUACUUGUCAUUGAAACGGAUGUAUCUAGAUGUAUUUUAGUUCUAGACACAUCCAUUUUGAUGAAAAGUAAUUCCGGACGGAGGGAGUACUUG